rnacentral:rRNA from 1 species
CACGUAGUUAGCCGGUGCUUAUUCUUCAGGUACCGUCAUUAGUAAGGGAUAUUAGCCCUCACCGUUUCUUCCCUGACAAAAGAGCUUUACAACCCGAAGGCCUUCUUCACUCACGCGGCAUUGCUGGAUCAGGCUUUCGCCCAUUGUCCAAAAUUCCCCACUGCUGCCUCCCGUAGGAGUCUGGACCGUGUCUCAGUUCCAGUGUGGCUGGUCGUCCUCUCAGACCAGCUACUGAUCGUAGCCUUGGUGAGCCUUUACCUCACCAACUAGCUAAUCAGAUAUCGGCCGCUCCAGGAGCACAAGGUCCGAAGAUCCCCUGCUUUCAUCCUUAGAUCGUAUGCGGUAUUAGCGUAACUUUCGCUACGUUAUCCCCCACUCUUGGGUACGUUCCGAUAUAUUACUCACCCGUUCGCCACUCGCCGCCAGGUUGCCCCGCGCUGCCGUUCGACUUGCAUGUGUAAAGCAUGCCGCCAGCGUUCAAUCUGAGCCAGGAUCAAACU